GUGGAUAUGAUGAUCCUUUACCCACAUGAUCGACUAAGAUUAUAAUGCAAAUUUCUUAUAUUUUCCCUUUCGGGAAAAUCAAGCCAGAGAUUCUGAUCCAC